CUCUCGGUCGGGUGGCUGGUUGCCCGGCUCCCCCCGCGCCCCGCGAUCUCGCCGUUUACCACGUCCCGGCUCAGCUCCCGCCGGGCCCCGCUCUCUCGCCGUCUGUCCGUCCCCCCCCCCUUCCUUCCUUCCUUCCUUCCUCUUCUCUCUUUCGCUUGCUUGCUCUUUCGCUCGCUCUCAGACGCGGCGGUGCAGCUUCGCAGGAAAAUCCCAGAAACCUUUGCAAAAAGCUGACAAUGAAAUUUAAGAAGUUCUUCGAUUUCGGCGCCAUUUUCGAGUGGAGCGAGAGGUGACAUGCGAUUUUUAAAAAAAGGGACUUGGUGGCUGCCCCCCCCCCCCCAUAGCAGCACUGGUUACGGUCGACGGGGGAAAAAGCUGAUGGCCGUGCGGGGAAAGUUCCGUGCUGCUCUGGGCUAGUAAGGCACGUUGCGGGGUGGGGGUGGCUGGGGUGAGGGCGAAACAGACCUUUCAAGCGUUGAGCACAGAAAUGCCGCCGAGAAAAUUCUUAGGAAACGGGCUGGGAAAGAGCUAACUAACAUGGAGGGGCAGACAGAGAAACGGGAGUCAGGGGCGGGGGCCGACUGUCAGCCUCCUCGGGGUCGGCGGUGACUGGCUUUGACAGGCUCUAGAUGGACUUUUCAUGCCUCUUAAUUGCAUGCAGUCAAAUACGUCCUGGAAAUAAAUGUGUGAUUAAUUUGCAUUGCUUCCCCCCCCCCGAUCAAAACUUUCAAGUUGUUUAGUUUGCCCUAUAAGAAACUUGACUUUGAGAAAGUUUGGCACGAAAGCGCCCAGGGAAGGGCCAUUGUAGGUUUGGGGUGUGGGGGAGACGGCAUCUGCAAAACUAAGACAAAACGUUGUAAAGUAUGAGUAGAGGGAGAGGCGUAUGCUUUGGCUCCUGAAUGAUUUGGCCAAACAGUUCUGUUCUGAAGGGGGUGGGGCCAUGGGCAACUCGCAAGUAUCGAUUCUUUGUCUAUUGUAUCAGCAACUGACCCUCUCCAGAAGUGACAAGACGCCUCUUUGUGAUCUGUUUUCGUAAGUAAAUUUCAGUCUAAGGGGACCUCCCUAAAACAGGGGAACGACAUGGUUUGCUAGGAAUGUAAGUCGUUGUACUGUCACUGGGAGAGAAGAAAGGGGUUAAAUGAAAGGUACAAAUGAAUUCGAUUCCAGUGACUUUGCAGAACGAUCUGGAAGGGACCUUCGCCUUUGACACCAUUGCUAUUUCGAAUAAACUCCUGUUCUUUUGAGUAGUCAAAGAAAUGUUAAAUUAGCGAUGACUUUAACAUCUGAUGUGAUGGUUCACAUAUGUGUGUGAAACAUAAAUAUGUAAUUGGGAAAAGGUUGUGGAGUUUUAAAAUAUAACUGUACAUUUGCUAAACAUGUUUUUUUUUUUUCUUUUUAAGGGCAACCAAGGACGUUUUUCUCCAUUAAUUCCCAAAAGCCAAUGUAACAGUUGUUUGUAAAUAACAUAGCCAAAACAAGAUGGAAUUUAGAGAUACCUAAUUGCAUGUCCCAUUUUAGAGAGUGGGGUUAUUAUUAAAACUUUGUUUACCCUGACACAAAUAGUGUAUUUGGUAACAGUGAAUCUCAGUCUGGCCUUAUGAAUUUUGUAAUUACUCUCAUUAAAUACUCUGCACAUUUUAUUAACUAAUAAAGAGGACACAACAUCCAUUGAAUGGGUUUCGAAAAGCCAACAAUUUUUAAAUGAACCAAAACACUUGGGUACUUUAAGUCUUUUACCAAUGUAUUAUAACUUUGAAAACCAUUAAAGUUUUGUGCUGCUUUUUUUUUUGUUUUUUUAACUUUUAGGUCUGUGAUUGAGGGCUACAGGGUUGUUUUCUCUAUGCUUAAUUAAAUAUUUCGUUUAUACAAUGGCGGGGAGGGAAUGUGUGUAACUUACUGCUAAUGUCUGUGCAUUUUAAAAAGAAAAAAAAGUGAUAUCUAAUGAGUUAAUCAUUAAGAGUAUGCACAGUGCCGGCCAUUUCAGGAUAUGAGAGUUUCUGUGGAGCUGCUGGAGACAGGAAGGAGUGAUUUGACAUUAAGUAUUUAAACUUUUUGAUUUAUGUUUUGAUAGGUGACAUUGAAAAGUAUAAAUUAUUUAUAAAUAAGUUUGAGUAAUCAGUUUCAUAUGUAAACACCCAGGUAUUUCAUCUGGGAACAGUUAUUAGUCCUUGAUACCUUUUUAAAAAUAACUUAAGGCAGGGUGUUUGCUGUAAGAAUAACACGUUGGGAGAGUAAAAGAGGACAACGGACGGACAGAACUAUUUCCCAGUGAUGGUGUUAGAACCAGCUGAAGCUGCCAGGACAUUUGGGUUAUCUCCUUUCAGUCAAUAAAUGAAAAUUGUUUUGUUUUGUUUUGAAUGAGGGCAUGGAGUGAGACUUAACGAUUUAGAAUACCCAGGAGGAAGACAUUUCACUAAGACUUUGAAACUGGCAAGAGUGUCAGAUAUUGCCCAAGUACCUCUUAUUUUUUUAUUAUUAGUCUCAGAAGUAAGAUUUUUUUCCCACCCUGAUAGCCCAUCUCCCAGGCCUCUGCCUUUCACUGCACUUUUCCAAUAUUCAGCCUCUGGGAGGAAAAAAAAAAUCGAGAGGCACACCCUUUGCUCCACCUGCCCAUCCUGGAAUUCAAACGGAUACGUUAUAAAAAGUACGUCCAAGUGGAACGAGGUGUCUUGGGCGCACGUUUGACUUCAUCCCUCGCCACUGGGCGGGGCCCGACGGGCUUCUUUCCAGACUCCAUGUCUUUCUCCGCCUGCAGGUAUCCCAGAGCCUCCCCCUUCGCGGACUCCGAGGGGAUGCAGCAGCAAUUCAUGUUUUGAAGUGCUUUAAAUGGUUCAAAACGUGAGGCGCUGCUAUACCCCCUCGCGGGGAAGAGAGAAGGUGGGGGUCGCUGGACGCGUGUUCCGGAGAGGCGCUCGCUCCCCAGGCCGGCUCUGGAGCAGAAGGACGCCCUGUGGCCCCCGGCACCCAACCCUGCGGCAAGACCCCGCCCGCCCCAGCCGGCUCCCUCCAAUGGGCCCCUGCCAGACCCAGGGGAGAAAAAUGUUGAAGGCACCCAGCAUCUCCAGUUAGGAGUAUUGACUUUUUCCCAACAAAGCAGCACGAAGGAAACAUUCUUGGCCCGGAUCUGGACUCAGAAGACUCCUGGUUCAAGAAAAUGCAAUCAUCUCUCAAAGUCUGUAAUUUAUAUGCAUUUUUAACUCACUCGGUAUUGAAAACCACCCAAGUGUCCCACAACAUGGGGUAAAAUAUAAUCAAUCACCCAGUGUAAUAUUAUACGUGCUUUAAAAAUGUUAUUGGAAAAUGUUUUAUGAUCUGUAAGUCGAAAUAACCCUCUCCCAACAUUUCUUUCUCCCUGCUGCUCCCCCCUACCCACGCCUCUUUGUUCCAAUUGGCAUGUAAACUUGUUUUUCCCGCCAAAUGAGUCAGUCACGAUGGGAACGUCAAUUGAUUUGAACAGAUGUGUGUCAAUGUUAUUUGGAAAACUAGAUGCCAAUAACCAGGGCCACCAAAAAAAAAAAAAAAAAAAAAAAGGUAGUGGUUGCAACUCUGUAAAAGUGUGUGUGUGCUUACAGACCAGGACUAAAGUGGAACCCCAAACAGCAAAACAGCUGGAUCUGCUCCAGUGUGGGGAGAUUGAAUGAUUGUAUCUGCUUUUGAUUUCCGUUAAUACGGGCAACUGUCCAAUUAAAAACACCUAAUAAGGACUGUGCAGUGCAAAUUAUUUUGCCGAUUGUUUUUAAAACACAAUACCUAUAAAUCAUCAGGGCAGAUGGGGCAGCAGGGGCUGGGUUGUUCCCCCAAUUCUGGAAUCUAGAAUUUAGGGGGACCCUUGGAGGAAAAGGGGAGUCUACCCAGGUGGGAGUUACUUCUAGGCAACUUUCCUGAGAGAUUAUACAAGAUGAAAAUAAAAAAAGUUCAAAAAACAUAUUUUAGAAGAUCAAUGAAAGUUUAUUGAUAAAAGCCUCGAGUAUGGGGCUAUGCACGUCCGAGUUGCCAGAAAUCUUUAGAGAUGUAUUUUCCCAUCAGCUUGCAGUGUAACUUAUCUUCAUAACCCUCGAACUUUAUACAUGUUUGAAUUUGGAAUGAUUACAUUACUGGUAACUGAAAAGCAAAGUAUAUGUACACCAAUGAUAGCCAACGUGUAUCUCCCUGCCCACACCCAUCCCACUCAACCCGCCCAUUCUUUACUGCUAAGUGAGGGAACCUAUCUGCUAGCUAUCUCCUAUUAUCUCACCUCUCUGCCCCUUUGCAGUCCCUCCCCUGUUCUACAAUUGAUCUCUUUGGCAAGUUCAAAAAAGCUCAGACCCCUGUGGGGAUAGUAAAUUGAGCCAUUAGGGAGGAGCCCUGAAAAGACUUCCAUUUCCUGUGACUGCUCAGCUUUGGAGCCCUCCCUUACCCUAGUGAGCUCUAGAAUCUGAGCAACCCGUGGGAGUUUGGGAGGUGGCUCUGGCUGGGUUGCUGGAGUCUUGGAGCUGAGAAACCAAAGGCCUACUGAGUCUGGAUUGCUCUCCACUAUGAUUCUCUUAAGGCAGCUCCCUCACCUGUUCCCCAAAGACCAGUCUGUUAUCCCAAAACCAGAUCUGUUAAAGACCUGGCCACAAACAGCCAUAAUCAGAAUCAUAAUAACCACAACAUCUCGCUCUUUUAUGGAGCUUUUAGAUGCUCUCAAGUGCUCUCAUAUGUUCUAUUUCAACAACAUCAAGAGAUAAAUAGAAAAAAAAGCAGUGAGAAAAUCAAUUGCAGACAAGAAAACUGGGGCAUCUGGGAGUUAAGGACCCUCCCUCCAACACACACACACACACACACACACACACACACACACACACCCCCCUCGCAACACACACACACACACACACACACACACACACACACACACACAGAGACUAGCCUGGGUCCUCUUCCCCUGACCUUGUACUGUGCCUCUUGCAUCAUUACCUGUUCAUCAGAACCAACUACAGGGCACUGAGUAGAGCAGGAAAUGGAGUUGACUUCAUUUGGUUAGAAAAUUUUGAGAUGAAAGUGAAGUGAUCAGUCUUAUAAUGAGCUUUUGCCUGCACACUGGCCCCUCCCCUGGGUGAGGCAGAUGACUAAGUAGUGACUGUAAAUUACCCAGCUGUGUUCAAGUAGACGUGCAUAAACCAAGAAAAAAGUGUGAUUUAAGUUUGUUUAAAAUCUCUGGCCCUUAUUUGAUACUAUCUAUAGAUUCAGCCAAAUUAAUCUUUAAAAAAAUUAAUGGAAUACCCAUUGUACGAUUUAACUUAGUUUAGUCACUCGGUUGAACCUUUUUUAGUCAUUACACAUUAUAAUUAUACAGAUUAUGCAGAAACCUGGAAAGGCAUAUGAGAUCAAAUUUUGAGACUGGGGCAUCAAGUUACCAUGACUGCAAAGCAGGUCUGCGUCGGGGCAGAAACUGGAAAGAAUAUGCCAAACAGGGAUACUUGUCGCUUAAGGCGGUGGGAGGCGAGCAUCCUGUUACUUUUCCAUGUCUUGUGUUAUGCCAUGUUUUGUGUAAUGUUGUCGAAUGUAAUUCUCUGAAAAGUCUUUAGGGGUCAUGGGCAACACAGGAAGUUUGGGUCAAGGAUGAAGAGACCUCAGACAUCUCGGGGAUCAUCAUGUCACGAGAUACCACUGUGCACUUGUGACAGAUUGAUAACUGAAAGGUCUGGGAGCCGCUCACCUGCACAGCAAUACAAGCGGUAAGUAUCAGCAAACCAGCUGACCAAAAUAUCAGGAGAAAAAUGGGCCCUAAGAAAGGAAGAAGGUGGUUGCCUUGGCAGGAGGAGGGGGACCAGUUGUAGUUCAAUAGUUUAACGGGAGGUGGGGCUCAGACUGUGUCUUUAACUAUUCAGUUUCUUUUUAAUGAAUUGAAGUGUAUUUAAGGCCUAAGAUUUUAUAUUACUUUCCAUUAAACCAAGAAUUUAUCUCAGGCAAAACUGGAAAAAGUACUAGCAAUGAGCACUGCAGACACAGCACAGUGUGAUCUUCACUAUGUUGAGUUCACAUAAGUGGUCAAGAAAUAGCAAAAACGACAUGAAUGAAAUGUCUUUUACUCAAAGGCAUAAAAGACGACAUCAAGAUGCUUAUUUCGUUAUUUUUAGGGAUGGAAAUUGGGAACAUACUGACAGACCCACAACAAAGAAUUGGGUGAGUAAAAUAUGGUGCAUGUAACAAGCAACAUGAGCAUGUGCUCCUGCUAAAGUAUUUAGUGAUAAGAGAAACACACAACUUUGGGGCGGGGUUCCCAUCUACACAAUGUAAGUAUAUCGGGAGCAUUCUGUCUGCUUGCUUUUGGUUCAAUAUACAGAUAAAAGGUUGGGAAGAAAUGUAUCAAAAGUUUAGCAGGGGUUAUUGUUUCUGAGUUGUGGUAUAAUAUGUCAUCAAAGGAAGAUGCUAAACUAUUUUUGCGAUGUGUUCCU